GUCCUUGCCGUAAACGAUGUAUACUUGAUGUAGUUAGGCUCAACCCUGACUGUGUCGAAGCGAACGCGAUAAGUAUACCGCCUGAGGAGUACGCUCGCAAGGGUGAAACUCAAAAGAAUUGACGGGGCCCGCACAAGCAGUGGAGCAUGUGGUUUAAUUCGAUGCAACGCGGAGAACCUUACCAAGGCUCGAAAUGCAGUGGGCGAUAUCAGAAAUGAUAUUUUCCGAAAGGACUACUGUAUAGGUGCUGCAUGGCUGUCGU
rnacentral:rRNA from 1 species